UCCAAGGAAGCUACCACCUGUGUCAAGGAGUGCAAGCACACCUGAGCCUAACUGAGUCCCCACCAGGGACCCUCCCUGUGGCUCGGUUCCUGCAUUUUACAGCUAGCAGGCAAUUCUCCAAAGUGAUCUGCAGGAAAUAAAUCAACUCUAAACCCCUGGGUCCCCAGCAGUGUCCUCACAGCCCGCUACUGUCACCUGAACCCACCAUAACAUGAAACAAAUCUUCCUUAUUUGGGGAAGUCCACUAUGUGCCUGCUCAUUUGUACAGGGACUUCUUUCUCCCUGCAGCUGUAUCAGCCUAAAUGGGCCAAGGCCCUGGGGAGGCCAGCCAUUGCAAUGACUGCAUGAUGGCUGAUGGACUGAAUCCAACACAAGACUGGUGGCACAACCAUGAGCCUCUUGGGGAUGGAGAGUGAACAUACAUUGGGUAUGUGGGCUAGGAAAGUGCCCAGCUCUGGUACACUGGUGGCUCUCACUAUUCCUUCCACUCCAAUGUAGGAGCAUACCCAAGGCUGGUUUAUGGAUGUACAGGUCUGCAGCUACUCAGAAGGGCCCCAUGCUGGGUUUAGGACGCUACUGUCAUCAUGGUUGUCUUAGUCAGGGUUUCUAUUCCUGCACAAACAUCAUGACCAAGAAGCAAGUUGGGGAGGAAAGGGUUUAUUCAGCUUACACUUCCACCUUGCUGUUCAUCACCAAAGGAAGUCAGGACAGGAACUCACACAGGGCAGGAACUUGGGGCAGGCAGGAGUCGUGGAGGGGUGCUGCUUACUGGCUUGCUUCCCCUGGCUUGCUCAGCUUGCUUUCUUAUAGAACCCAAGACCACCAGCCCAGGUAUGGCACCACCCACAAUGGGCUAGUCCCUCCCCUCUUGAUCACUAAUUGAGAAAAUGCCUUACAGUUGGGUCUCAUGGAGGCAUUUCCUCAAAGGAGGCUCCUUUCUCUGUGAUAACUCCAGCUUGUGUCAAGUUGACAUUGUACCAGCCAGUACCGGUACAAUGGUAGAGUUACUAAUCUUCAACAAGAUCUGUGGUUUCAUUUGUACUGGGCCCUAUAAAUCACAUGGCUAGGUCUAGGUGUGUGCUCGAGACUCCUUCAUCCUCACUCUGUCUAAGCAUAAACUGAGUCACAGGAGCCUCUAUUUAGCAUUGAUCUCCCACUUACUAGCUAGAUAAUGUGGGAGCCACUCUUCAAAUUCAUUUUCGUGCCCGUAAAAUUAUGGUGCCUAUCCCAAACAUGGCAUUAACAAGCCUGACCCAGGCUCAGGGGUCUGCAUACAGCAUGGAGAUCUACAGUAAAUGCUAGCUCCCUCUUCACCCUUGCCUUCAGCUCAGUCUUUUUUUUUUCUACAGAUUUCUUCAUGUCCAAAUACACUCAGUAAAGGACAAGAGCACACCCAGCGCUGUCUAGGGCAUUACAGAAUGGCAGGGACUGAGAACCUAGCAAACAGCAGAGUAUUGGAUGCCAGGAUCAUCCGGAGGGGAGAGAGCUGGGCUACACAGUGACACCUUCAGAACCCUGGAAUCGACUGUUACAGUUGCCCUUCUCUGGGCAUGCUCUUGUCCUUUUCUGCGUAUGUUUGGACGUGAAGAAAUCUGCCUACAGUAGAAGGCACACUCUAGGCAUCUGCUGUCCCGGGGCCAGACUUGAGUCCUAAUUUGGGGGCUGCCUUAGGGAAUGGAAGAGCAAUGUUGGGAUGGGCCUUUGGAGUCAGAGAGAUUUGAGGCCCAGAUCUGUUGUCUCAGGAUCCUAGUCCAAGUUGCUUAGGCUGCCGGAAUCUCCAUUCCUCACCGUCUAACAGGGUAAGAAUGGGUACACUGAGCUUUAGGAGAAUGGCACAGGUGGUGCCAAGGAAGUAUAGUCACUGCUUACUGAGCUGGCAAGAGAGCCAAGUGGUCGAAGACACUUGUUGCUAGGACCGACAGCCUGCAUUUGAUCCCAAGGACUCGCAUGGUAGGAGAGACCUGAUCCCUGCCAGUUAUCCUCAGACCUCUACAUGCACACAAAUAAAUAAUUAAAAGCCAUUGCAUUUAAACAAAUAUGGGUGGAAGGUUACCACUGGAGCGACCUCCACCAACAGCGGCAGUUUGGUUUGAAGCUUUCACUUUUCAAAGGAAGUGCUGUGAAUUAACUUCCUCUCAGCGAGGCCCUGUCCUUUUUAGCAAAGGAAUUGUGGGAAUAAUUCACAAACAGCAUGCAUUUGUUUUGCCUGAGACAUGCGUGUAAUACACACGGAAAUGCAUUCUAAGAUUGGUGUGACGGUUUGCUCCACAGAGAAGAAAAUGCAGCAUGGCAUGUAAGGUCAUACCUUCAAAGUCACAGUCCUGUAAGAGGCGAAGCGAAGCUGAGAUUCAGGCCCAACUGUACUGCUCUGUGGACUCAUGCAUAGACAGCAUCUAAACCAAAUAAAGUUUAGGAGGUAAAA